rnacentral:rRNA from 1 species
GAUGAACGCUGGCGGCGUGCCUAAUACAUGCAAGUCGAGCGAACGGACGAGAAGCUUGCUUCUCUGAUGUUAGCGGCGGACGGGUGAGUAACACGUGGAUAACCUACCUAUAAGACUGGGAUAACUUCGGGAAACCGUAGCUAAUACCGGAUAAUAUUUUGAACCGCAUGGUUCAAAAGUGAAAGACGGUCUUGCUGUCACUUAUAGAUGGAUCCGCGCUGCAUUAGCUAGUUGGUAAGGUAACGGCUUACCAAGGCAACGAUGCAUAGCCGACCUGAGAGGGUGAUCGGCCACACUGGAACUGAGACACGGUCCAGACUCCUACGGGAGGCAGCAGUGGGGAAUCUUCCGCAAUGGGCGAAAGCCUGACGGAGCAACGCCGCGUGAGUGAUGAAGGUCUUCGGAUCGUAAAACUCUGUUAUUAGGGAAGAACAUAUGUGUAAGUAACUGUGCACAUCUUGACGGUACCUAAUCAGAAAGCCGCGGCUAACUACGUG